CUCGGAGUUAGUAUUAUUGUAUUUGCACUUUUUGCUGAUUCUCGAAAAAAUGUUUUUAUAGGCCUUGAUGUCAUGAUGUCAUAAUGAUGUAUGAACAACAUGUCCCUUUCAUCAAAUAAAGUAACAUACCAACAGUUUAUCCCUUUUUUAAGUCUCGUAAUUUCAGCAAAGUGUUUCCUGGACUUUUUUUUAUAUUUUGUGCGUUUUUCUACUUAAUUUUUUUGAUGGCUUAAUUGAUAUCGAUCCCUUCUU
rnacentral:lncRNA from 1 species